rnacentral:rRNA from 1 species
AUGAACGCUGGCGGCGUGCCUCAUACAUGCAAGUCGAGCGAACAGACGAGGAGCUUGCUCCUUUGACGUUAGCGGCGGACGGGUGAGUAACACGUGGGUAACCUACCUAUAAGACUGGGAUAACUUCGGGAAACCGGAGCUAAUACCGGAUAAUAUUUCGAACCGCAUGGUUCGAUAGUGAAAGAUGGCUUUGCUAUCACUUAUAGAUGGACCUGCGCCGUAUUAGCUAGUUGGUAAGGUAACGGCUUACCAAGGCAACGAUACGUAGCCGACCUGAGAGGGUGAUCGGCCACACUGGAACUGAGACACGGUCCAGACUCCUACGGGAGGCAGCAGUAGGGAAUCUUCCGCAAUGGGCGAAAGCCUGACGGAGCAACGCCGCGUGGGUGAUGAAGGUCUUCGGAUCGUAAAACUCUGUUAUUAGGGAAGAACAAACGUGUAAGUAACUGUGCACGUCUUGACGGUACCUAAUCAGAAAGCCACGGCUAACUACGUG